rnacentral:rRNA from 1 species
CAGUAGCCGCGGUAAUACAGAGGGUGCGAGCGUUAAUCGGAUUUACUGGGCGUAAAGCGUGCGUAGGCGGCUUUUUAAGUCGGAUGUGAAAUCCCUGAGCUUAACUUAGGAAUUGCAUUCGAUACUGGGAAGCUAGAGUAUGGGAGAGGAUGGUAGAAUUCCAGGUGUAGCGGUGAAAUGCGUAGAGAUCUGGAGGAAUACCGAUGGCGAAGGCAGCCAUCUGGCCUAAUACUGACGCUGAGGUACGAAAGCAUGGGGAGCAUACAGGAUUAGAUACCCCCGUAGUCCCUGUCUCUUAUAC